UACGUAGGGUGCGAGCGUUGUCCGGAUUUAUUGGGCGUAAAGAGCUCGUAGGCGGCUUGUCGCGUCGAAUGUGAAAUCUCAGGGCUCAACUCUGACAUUGCAUUCGAUACGGGCAGGCUCGAGUUCGGUAGGGGAGACUGGAAUUCCUGGUGUAGCGGUGAAAUGCGCAGAUAUCAGGAGGAGCACCGGUGGCGAAGGCGGGUCUCUGGGCCGAUACUGACGCUGAGGAGCGAAAGCGUGGGGAGCGAACAGG
rnacentral:rRNA from 1 species